rnacentral:tRNA from 3 species
GCCGGCGUGGUGGAAUUGGUAGACACGCUACCUUGAGGUGGUAGUGCUGAAAGGCUUCCCGGUUCAAGUCCGGGCGUCGGUACCA